rnacentral:lncRNA from 1 species
AUUUUUAGUCUACUCAGUUUCAUUGUAAAAAAAAAACAAAAACUUUAUUUUUUUUACAACUUUCCCACACUUUCUCGAUGACCAAACACAACCACACCACCAAAUAUAACCACAAAACUUACAGAAAACACCGAGGGCAAUGGUUUCUCAGAUCUGCACUUCACUUCCUUCCUAUUGGUGUUGAAGCAAGGAUCUCCACCUCAUGAUCAGCGUGCGGGAUAGUGGGUUUUCGGGCAGAGGAGUUUU